AUGAACUCAUGGUUGGUGGUCUGUGGUGACAUGCUUCUCUUGAUUGACCAAAGGUUCAGCUCUGGCGGAUUGGGUGGCUCAUCUAACACGAUCUUUAGGGUCUCUCGCCUCAACUUCUCUGUCGAGCCAGCUAAGUGGGUGAAGUUGGAGAAGCUGGAUAAUUAUGCUCUGUUUGUUAGCCCUGACAGAAGGAAUCCUACAUUUUGUUGCAUGAGCCCGGAAAGAUGGGGAGGAAAGAGUAACUGCAUUUAUUUUGCGAGGCUAACUGAAGAUCCCGAUGAAACUUGGACCGCGGUCGAGUUUGGUCAGCCAGUGCCAGACAGUGCAGUUCGCGCCAUGCUCUUCUAUGAUAUGUCGUCCCCUCCAGACUGUGGUGUACUAAGUAGCCUCUGGGUGUUCCCCAGUUUAGUUUAUGGUUCUGGCUAG
rnacentral:rRNA from 1 species